GUCUUCUUGUAAUGUUUAGGAAGUCUGGCCUGCCCAGUGAAAAUAUUUUAACGGCCGCGGUAUAUUGACCGUGCAAAGGUAGCAUAAUCAUUAGUCUUUUAAUAGAGGGCUGGUAUGAAGGGUUUAACGAGGUGUUGACUGUCUCAUUUAAUUUGAAUUUAGAAUUUAAUUUUUUAGUUAAAAAGCUAAAAUUUUAUUGGAAGACGAGAAGACCCUAUAGAGCUUUAUAUUUAUAUUAUUAAUUGGGGGUUGAUUAUUAUUACUUAUUAUUAAUAUUAAAUAUUUUGUUGGGGUGACAAGAAUAUAUAAUUAACUUUUUUAUUUAGUUAACAUUGAUUUAUGAAUAGUGGAUCCAAUCUUAUUGAUUGAUAGAUUAAGUUACCUUAGGGAUAACAGCGUAAUCCUCCUUCAGAGUUCAUAUUUACAGGGGGGCUUGCGACCUCGAUGUUGGAUUAAGAUGAUAAUUAGGUGUAGCCGCUUAAUUAAUAGGUCUGUUCGACCUUUAAAUUCUU
rnacentral:rRNA from 1 species